rnacentral:rRNA from 1 species
UCAUAGUGCCUGGAAUGGCUUAUGGUCCAAACAGUUUACUGCCAUGGGAUGGGACUGCGGCCUAUCAGCUUGUUGGUGAGGUAAUGGCCCACCAAGGCGAUUACAGGUACGGGCUCUGAGAGGAGAAGCCCGGAGAUGGGUACUGAGACACGGACCCAGGCCCUAUGGGGCGCAGCAGGCGAGAAACCUUAGCAAUGUGCGAAAGCACGACUGGGUCAGUCCGAGUGAUUCCUGAUAAAGGAGUCUUUUGCCUGUCCUAAAAGCACAGGUGAAUAAGGGGUGGGCAAGUCUGGUGUCAGCCGCCGCGGUAAUACCAGCACCUCGAGUGGUCAGGACGUUUAUUGGGCCUAAAGCAUCCGUAGCCGGCUCUGCAAGUCUUCGGUUAAAUCCACCUGCUCAACAGAUGGGCCGCUGGAGAUACUACAGAGCUAGGGAGUGGGAGAGGCAGACGGUAUUCAGUGGGUAGGGGUAAAAUCCUCUGAUCCAUUGAGGACCACCAGUGGCGAAGGCGGUCUGCCAGACACGUUCGACGGUGAGGGAUGAAAGCUGGGGGAGCAAACCGGAUUAGAUACCCGGGUAGUCCCAGCUGUAAACGAUGCA